rfam:Danio rerio chromosome 4, GRCz11 reference primary assembly.
GCAUUGGUGGUUUAGUGGUAGAAUUCUCGCCUCCCACGCAGGAGACCUGGGUCUGAUUCCCGGCCAACACA